rnacentral:rRNA from 1 species
GACGAGCGCUGGCGGCGUGCUUAACACAUGCAAGUCGAACGGUGAAGGGACUGGUUUUGCUGGUCCUGGAUGAGUGGCGAACGGGUGAGUAACACGUGAGUAACCUGCCCCCUUCUUCUGGAUAACCGCAUGAAAGUGUGGCUAAUACGGGAUAUUCUGGGUCUGUCGCAUGGUGGGCCUGGGAAAGAUUGCGCCUUUUUUGGUGUUUUUGGUGGGGGAUGGGCUCGCGGCCUAUCAGCUUGUUGGUGGGGUGAUGGCCUACCAAGGCGGUGACGGGUAGCCGGCCUGAGAGGGUGGACGGUCACACUGGGACUGAGACACGGCCCAGACUCCUACGGGAGGCAGCAGUGGGGAAUAUUGCACGAUGGGCGCAAGCCUGAUGCAGCGACGCCGCGUGAGGGAUGGAGGCCUUCGGGUUGUGAACCUCUUUCGCCAGUGAAGCAGGCCUGCCUCUUUUUGUGGGUGGGUUGACGGUAGCUGGAUAAGAAGCGCCGGCUAACUACGUG